UUGAACUGAAGAGUUUGAUCAUGGCUCAGAUUGAACGCUGGCGGCAGGCCUAACACAUGCAAGUCGAGCGGUAGAGAGAAGCUUGCUUCU
rnacentral:rRNA from 1 species